rnacentral:lncRNA from 1 species
AACGUUGGGGGGAUUUCAUGGAUUCUGAUCUUCAUCCUAAGGAUGAUGCUUUGGACUUUUGACACGGUGUUUCCCUCUGGAUCAUCGCUGAUAAGGUUUUUCUUAAUCCGUUAGUUUGCGCUUUGUGCUUUCAACAGUUUAUCUUUAUUUUUUCUUUGUUUUUUCUUGUUUUUGUUUUCGAUUUUGUUUCUCAAUAAAAUUUUUAAUUCAGCAUAGUGAGUAUUUUAUUUUUUUUAUUUUUGGGAACGGG